rnacentral:rRNA from 1 species
UACGAGUGCCCCGAGCGUUAUCCGGAAUUAUUGGGCGUAAAGGGUGUGUAGGUGGUUGUGUUAGUCUUCUGUCAAAUUCUUCGGCUUAACCGGGGGUCCGCAGAGGAAACGGCACAACUAGAGGAUGCGGAGAGGUAAAUGGAACUCAUGGAGUAGGGGUGAAAUCCGUUGAUAUCAUGGGGAACACCAAAAGCGAAGGCAAUUUACUGGCGCACUCCUGACACUGAAACACGAAAGCGUAGGUAGCGAAUGGG